UGCAGUUAGCCACAGAGCCACUGCGGUUUCCCAGACCUCCGUCCUCCUCUCCGACCGGAGACGCCAACAGAUGGUGUAGCAUAGGACGUCCGCAUCGGCCCUCGGGCCCAUCAGAGCCCCCGUUGGCCAACACCGCCGCGGCUUGGAACGAGCAUAUUCAAGCAGCUCUCCCUGAGGCCCGGGAAAAUGGAUAUUGAUCUGGAGCCAUGACUAAAUGGAUUAAAUUACAGAGUAGUGUUGGUAGUGCGGCAGCAGAGAGAAUGAGACAAGAAGGAGGAGGAGGAACAAAAGAUGGCUAGGGAGACAAAACUAAAUGAGAAAGGUGGUAGUGGAAGUCUGCUAAAAGUUUUGCCUCGCAGACUGAUUUCUUUCUUGAGCAUUCCUUUAAUCCACAGCCCAACUAGCAGCCCGGUGCAAUCAUCCUUGCUCGCCGUACUCCCCAGCAUCAUCCUGGUCUUCAUACAGCCAUGUGCCAAUUGGCUACAGAGGAGUAGCUAGACAGAGGAUUAUUGUCCUCCAUUCAGCCAAGGCUGUUGAGUGGUAAGACUGCUAAAUGUGUGCUGGGAGCAAAAGAAGACUCACAAUCAUGAAUUCAGAACCUGAAUAAUUCCGCAGAGAGCGUAAAUCUGGACGAAUCUGGCCGUCAGUCACAGUCAAAGUUUGUUUGCUACAAACAGUUAAUCAAUCAGCAAACCUUCUUAAGCUUUUCUCCUGCACAGCCUUGCUGAUGGGCCCAGGGGCUGCGGAGAAUCGUUUUCUGAGUGCGUCUCCUGUGAGCUCUGAUAUUCGGGACAUUAAUGCAUUCACUUGUGACAGGAAUAUCAAAGAGCAUCAAGGGCACAAGCAGGUCCAGCAGCGCCUUUUGCAACCUAAAGUACUUUUUCAUUGACAAUUCAUAGACCUCAACCCAGAAAGCGGAACAAAAGCUGCAAACGGAAAAGUGACAUCAAAACCAACAGGACGACUUAUGCAAAACACUAGGACAUCAGUGAACCCAUGUGUAUCCAUUCUCCUCCUUCAUGAACCAGUGGAACUUUUAAAAAGUAUCUGUCCUGUCCAUUUCUAAUAGACAGACAGGAGGACAACUACAAUGAAGGAAGAAAGAAGAUAAAGAUGAUUGAUGAUUUCUGGAGAAGUUCGGGACUGAGACCAACUCAGAACUCAUCCAUGGUGGUUUUGUUUGGCUGUUCACCAAGUCUUAAACUUGCCCAAAUGUCUGAGAUGUACUGUUGGGGUUCCAAUAAAGUUUUAAAAAAUAUGUAACUUCAA